GGAAAAUAAAAGUAAUAAACCUGUAAAAGACCUGCUCUACUGAGCUGAACUAAACAAGAGCCUGACUGGGACAAGUUGCUCCCUGUAAGUUAAUUAUAUAUUAAAAAAUAAAGAUGGAAAAAGACCAAGGUAUAACGAUCCCAUAUAAGCUCUGUGGUAGACAGCAAAAGUUUCCAUCCAUUGAUGCUCUGGUUCUCCAUCUGUUCCUCUAGGGUGUCCCUUAGCUUAAAAGUAGACUCUGGGAUGUUAGAUGUUGAGUUGGUGUUGUUCAGAACAAGUCACAGUCAAACUGCAGCUCAAAACCAAAAGGACAAGGCAGCAGGCUCCGUUUGCUUAUGCAAUACAACUGACCAACUCAGGGAAACAUCUGUUGCACGCAAAGGCAAGAGACCUGUGUGGACAUGAGCUGUCCAGUCUAAGCAGUAAAUGGGAAGAUGCUCUUCCAGUCAGUAUCACAGCUGGACUACCUGGAGCCCGAAACGCAGAGCACAGCUUCUCUCAGCCUUCCCCUAGCGAGCCCCCGUUCAAGCAGAGUAGCCUAAAGCAGCUUGUCCAAGGUCACAUCCAAGCACCCUUUCAAAAGUACAUCGAGCUGUCAGAAGUGGGAUUCGAACCCACGCCUCCAGGGGAGACUGCGACCUGAACGCAGCGCCUUAGACCGCUCGGCCAUCCUGACUAUGCCCUUAUAUGGGAAGCACUGAAAUUCCCUCACUGUUAAACUGUCAAUUAAAAACAAGUGAAAAUAGUUCAUGCUUCUGGUUUCUGAAGAUGCAGAAUAAUAAGAUAUGCUCUUAUUCUGGCUCUACAUAUUCUUUUAUGGAAUAUACAAGCAUAGUUAGCUGAACUGCCUAAGGUGUUCACAUGACGGCAUGCUGUGCUCACCUACACAUCAUUCUCAGCGUCUAGUUGUGCUUGCCACUAAACUGAUUCUCUAAGGAUGUUGGUCCCCCUAAAGAGCUCUCUCAGAGAUAUCAGGUGCCUUAAAACAUUGUAAAUGUUAUAGCUAAACAGAAGAGAGAGGUCUUAGUUACUGCUUCCACCAGGCAUGUGUUGCCUGAUGCGUUAGCCCUGAAACUGC
rnacentral:tRNA from 1 species